rnacentral:rRNA from 1 species
ACGACUACACUCCUACGGGAGGCAGCAGUGGGGAAUAUUGGACAAUGGGCGAAAGCCUGAUCCAGCCAUGCCGCGUGUGUGAAGAAGGUCUUCGGAUUGUAAAGCACUUUAAGUUGGGAGGAAGGGCAUUAACCUAAUACGUUAGUGUCUUGACGUUACCGACAGAAUAAGCACCGGCUAACUCUGUGCCAGCAGCCGCGGUAAUACAGAGGGUGCAAGCGUUAAUCGGAAUUACUGGGCGUAAAGCGCGCGUAGGUGGUUUGUUAAGUUGAAUGUGAAAUCCCCGGGCUCAACCUGGGAACUGCAUCCAAAACUGGCAAGCUAGAGUAUGGUAGAGGGUAGUGGAAUUUCCUGUGUAGCGGUGAAAUGCGUAGAUAUAGGAAGGAACACCAGUGGCGAAGGCGACUACCUGGACUGAUACCGACACUGAGGUGCGAAAGCGUGGGGAGCAAACAGGAUUAGAUACCCCAGUAGUCCACCAAUCC